UCGGGCUGCCAGCGUGAAAAUACGGGUUCAAACUCUGAGAGCGGCCACUGUGUGCCAAAAAUGCCAAAGGUUAGGACUGUAUCUAGUCUACCCCUCCCGGGACCCUGCGCAAGCGGGACCAUGAUAGGGUCACGGCCCUUACGGUCUUUUAUAAUAUUCAUAGGUCGGUUCAAUGUCAAUACAAUUGAACCGCAAUUGUCCUACACUUUUCAGUCGGUCCGUUAUUCGAAACAUUAGAUAGCCUUGAGGUUUGUGGUCCGAUGUUUCUAAAGUUAGUCCACAUUUUGAGUACGUAUUAAUUUGUGAAAUGUUAAUUGGUGCGUGUUAUGGGAACCAUGUUACUAACUAAUACAUGAACAAUCUUAAUUGGUGCAUGGAAGGGAACCAUGUUACUAGUACUAAUGCAUUUACAUCAAUGAGGCACAUAUAUCAUGUUCCUAAAAAUGCGGUCCGAUCGCAUUUAGACCUCAUUUUUUGUAAGUUUAAAGGCAGCCCUAUGUUUCGGACAUUGGACCCAAUAAAAAGUGUAGUUUAGUCCGAUGUUUGUAACAUCAGGCCACCCUACAAAAUUAGCAAUUGAUGUUUUUGACAUUGAAUUGAUCUAUAAAUAUCAUAUGAUUAAAAAAAAUUUAGCAUGAGGUCCAAUUUUUAGAACAUUGGACUGGGGACAAACCUAGAAAAAAAUCGGGAGGCAUGGACUUUCGUGUGAAUAACAGUCAAAUAAAAUGGUGCGAACGUAAUUUUCCCUACAUACUUCCCUUUUGAAUACUAUUGGAGCCAUAGUUGCUGGAACCUUGUAGGAAAGGUCACGUAUCCACUGCAGAACCUUGAUCCCGCAAUUCUGGCUAGGGAUCUUGGGUGGAACGCAAAUCCCUAUAUUGUGAUCCUCGUUCCCAGCAGGUUUUAACCAUGGUUCUCCCGUGUUGAACGCAGUGCAUAUGAAGUUUUCUCUAUUCGGCAUUGAUUCAGGUAUUGUGAACUCAUGCAUCAUUCUUGAUCCCUUCAAACAUACUAUUGUGAUUCCUUCCUCAUGGAAUCACGCUAUCCUGUGACAAGGAUCGCUCUCCCUUGAUAUAGGAUCUUACGGACGACGAUCCCAACCCCAAGGAGCUUCCAAGAAUUCACGGUUCCUCUUCAUACCUCCAGUACCCAGUCUUUUACAAAUACAUUUUUGAUCUUUUUAUUGCUUUCCUCCUUAGCCCUCCUUUCUAAAACUAUGCAACAAGUGGGAUAUAGAAAGAUGUUGUACAUUUGCUUGUGAAUUGCUCCCCCUGAACUCCCGACAUAGUCUGACAUUUCUUUUGGAUUUCCUAUUUUUGUAUAAUUCAUCUAUUUGUUUGUGACUUGAUUUGCAUUUGAGGCCUCCACUGCAUAGUGGGGAGACUUCCACUAGUGCAAUGUUCAUUGCUGAUAAGAAAGCUGAAGUGGUUUUGAAUGCUUGCCUGAGGUUCCAUACUUGUUUAUGAGGAAGUACUACAACUUCUAACUAGAGACCUCUAGCUACCCUCAUUUGAUCCAACUAGAGCAUCCCAAUAUACGUCCUUUUUAGUUCCAGAAAGGAUUGGAAAGGAUGCUUCCUUCAAAUGCUUAUACUUGGCUUUAGCUAACCUAUCACCAAAGUAGAAAAAAGGCCUAGCCAGGAGUUGAUUUGGCUCACUAAGUCUUGACUCAAUCCAGUGAGCUUUGAAUCAAAAGAAGUCUUUGAAUUUAAAAAGAUGAUUCUAAAAAUAUUAAGUAUUAAUCUAUUUUAAGGAAAUCUCUGUUUAGCUCACUUCUUUGUGCAACUUGAUGAUUACAUUUUGAAAUCUUCAUGAUGAAAAAUGAAUAAGUAUUCCUUUGUUCGAGUAUGGAAAAUGCAAUAUGGACUCAUUAUCUAUUUAUAUUUAUUUGUAUUUUGUGAAGCCCAAAGAUUUCGUGCCCUCGUGGAAUAACAUUGUGAAUUUACUCGCUCGGGUAAAACACUAUCUAGGAGUAUUUUUAGGACUCCAAAUUUGGGGAUAUAACCUGUUUGAACCAUGGACUGACCUCAAUAAAUUAAAAGUUUUCAAAUCACAAUCUCUAUGUGCUUGAAAAAAUAGUGUCCCAAGAUUGAACUGAGACCAUCCAAUUAUUAGAGGGUAAGACUAAGACCUACGUGUUAGGUAACUCAAAAACCAAAUUUAUUUUGAAAAUAAUGAUAUAGUGAUUCUUAGGUGGUACCCAAAAUUCGAGAUAAAAAAAUCCUCCGUAGUGUCUUUUGCCUUGCCCAAGGGAGUAAACAUAUACUAUGCUCCCAUGGGCACAUAGUAUACACGCUCUUUUGUAUAUACAUCAUUCUAUUCCUGAGGUGAUAUACAUGCAAUACUUUUACAUUACAGAACAUUAAUAUAUUACGUGUAACUCAUCAGUUUUGGAUGUUAACUUUUAUUCCUAAGAUUUCAUGGGUGCUUUUUCAUCGUAUUUUAUGUCCCACCAAAUACUGCUGGCGGAGAGUACUGGUACAUGAAAAAGUGAUGUUACUACUGUUGAACAUCUUAUGACUGUUGAACAACCCUCCUUUGGGGGCCUUUAUAUUGUCUGCAUUGACUUUAGAUGCAACUAUUUUGUUUUGGGCUUCUGUGCUCUUGAUAUUUGCAGCUCCCUGCUUUACUAUUGCUCUGGAUUCGUGUGACUAUGCCUAGUACUUUCCCUUUGAUGUCCUAACCUCCAUCUAGACCUAAAUGUAAUGGACCUUCUCUCUUGUCAGUCUCUGUUCUAUUGGUUCUAUGCUUAAAGUCUCUAGGAUUACUGGAUGGUUAUAGAGUGCUGAUAUUUUUGGCGCUGUAUGGUAAAUUAUGCCUGAGCAAUUCUGAACCUGCUUUAACUCUCUACAUGUUAAUGGCACUCCCUGGAUUGCUUCAUCUCACGAGUUUAUAAAUCGAACAUUACAUGCAAUUUUUUGCACCUUGUUUCAUGCACAUAAGCCAUGUGAGAUCCUUGAUGACAGGAAACUUAAGCUCCAUUAGCCUCACAAGGAGAAAAAUUAUUCUUUCCACUGGUUAGAUAAGUCCUUGGCACCUAUUCGGUCUUAAAGUUUAAGCUUCAAUCAUCAUCAUCAUCAUCAUCCAAACCUUAUGGGCUGCAUGAAUUAUGUUCCUCCAUUCUUUUCUAUUAAUGGCCAUACCAUCUAUAUGACCAAAAUUCACCAUAUCUUUUCUCAUUACUUCUAUCCAUGUCCUUUCCUACCCCUCGUCUUGUUAGAACCUUUCACUUGAACUAAAUCAUAUCUCCUAGCUGGUGUUGUGUUAGGUCUAUGUUGCACAUGACCAGCCCAUCCAAGUCUACUUUCCCACAUCUUAUCACCUAUUGAAGCUACACUUAAGUUCCCUUCUAUGUAUUUAUGCCAAAUUCUAUCAUUUUUUGUCUUGCUACUCAUCCAUCUCAACGUCCUCAUUGCAACUACUCUUAUCUUAUACAUAUGUUGUUUCUUGAUCGCCCAACAUUCUGUCCCAUAAAUGCAUGACUAGUCUUAUAGCCAUCCUAUAGAACUGCCUCUUCAGUUUUAAUGGUAUGCAGCAUCACAUAAAACUCCAGAUGCACAUCUCCACUUAGCCCAUCCAGCUCUAGCUCUAUGUGCAACAUCUUCCUCAAUCUCUCUAUUCUCCUGGAUUAUCCACCCUAGAUAUCGGAUUAUACUAAAACCAUGAGAUCACACAUUCAAGAAGGCCCUAAUUUAGGAGAGGAACUAGAGGCUGUAACUGACAAUUUAUGGUAUAAGUAUAGUUUACUGAAACAGUCGCUGCUUUCCAGGCAUAGAGGAUACAAUUAUGCAAGGAAAUAUGAGGCCACAAAAGCAAAGACAAUGCAACCUGCUAAGAAGACAUCUAUGUGAAAUAAUAUCAUCCAUCUUUGGGCCUCCACCAUCAGUUAUCAUGUCAUCCUUGGUGCCAACCUUCUUUCCUCAUGUAGUCAAAAGCGAAUAUUGGCUUCAUUGCUAGAGUUGAAUAUGGUGCUGCUGAUGAAUAAUCGGCUGAAAUUUACCUGAAUAUCAUAUCUUUUAUGUGAUCGUAAUAUUUGGGAUACUUCUAAGCUAUGUUUUGAUAGUAAUGCUCAGUGGACAGAUUGUUUGUUUCUAAGCAACAGGGGAUUCUUUGUUCGGGGGCCUAGCUUGUCACAGUGAGGUAGGAUUCAAUGUUUGGGUCAGUUGAACUGAAAGCAAGGGCUCCGAGAUGUCGAAGUCACUUGGUUGCUUCUGGCUCUUCGUUAUGAAUUACAGGAGUUCAGCAAAUAGAAACUCAGAAAUGGAUCAUUGGAUCCUUCUGCACAAGGGAUUAUCAACAGUUGCUGGUGGUUGAUAAGGGGCAUUGUGAAUAAGCUUCUGCAUGUUCCCAUGUGGCACUUGAGAUGCGACGGCAGUGAUAAGAGCCAAGGUGGAGCAAACUCAAAAGUGAUCAUGUGAUCCCCUCAAUACCGUUUCCUACUAAUCUUUCAUCAUAUUUCCUUCGUUUUUUGAUGUUUGGUACUGAAGUACAUAUACUCUUACAUUUUUGAUAGUACAUAUUCGGGGAUGGGGUGAGAUUUUCGGUACACUUUUUGGCCCAGGACUUACCGGGGCGGGCCAAGGUAUUUUUGAGCUUUGCCGAGCCUUGGGCUAGCCCUGCCCGA